GAUGAACGCUAGCGGCAGGCUUAAUACAUGCAAGUCGAGGGGCAGCAUGAUUGUAACAAUACAAUUGAUGGCGACCGGCAAACGGGUGCGGAACACGUACACAACCUUCCAAUAAGUGGGGAAUAGCCCAGAGAAAUUUGGAUUAAUACCCCGUAACAUAACGAUGUGGCAUCACAUUGUUAUUAUAGAUUUUUCGCGUAUUGAUGGGUGUGCGGCUGAUUAGAUAGUUGGCGGGGUAACGGCCAACCAAGUCUACGAUCAGUAGCUGAUGUGAGAGCAUGAUCAGCCACACGGGCACUGAGACACGGGCCCGACUCCUACGGGAGGCAGCAGUAAGGAAUAUUGGACAAUGGACGCAAGUCUGAUCCAGCCAUGCCGCGUGAAGGAUUAAGGUCCUCUGGAUUGUAAACUUCUUUUAUAAGGGACGAAAAAAGGCUUUUCUAAGUCGUCUGACGGUACCUUAUGAAUAAGCACCGGCUAACUCCGUGCCAGCCGCCGCAGUAACAC
rnacentral:rRNA from 1 species